rnacentral:rRNA from 1 species
CUGCGUACCUUUUGUAUAAUGGGUCAGCGACUUAUAUUCAGUGGCAAGGUUAACCAUCUAGGGGAGCCGUAGGGAAACCGAGUCUUAACUGGGCGCUCAGUCUCUGGAUAUAGACCCGAAACCAGGUGAUCUAGCCAUGGGCAGGUUGAAGGUUGAGUAACAUCAACUGGAGGACCGAACCGACUAAUGUUGAAAAAUUAGCGGAUGACUUGUGGCUAGGGGUGAAAGGCCAAUCAAACCUGGAGAUAGCUGGUUCUCCCCGAAAGCUAUUUAGGUAGCGCCUCGGACGAAUACUACUGGGGGUAGAGCACUGUUAAGGCUAGGGGGUCAUCCCGACUUACCAACCCUUUGCAAACUCCGAAUACCAGUAAGUACUAUCCGGGAGACACACGGCGGGUGCUAACGUCCGUCGUGGAGAGGGAAACAACCCAGACCGCCAGCUAAGGUCCCAAAUUACUACUAAGUGGGAAACGAUGUGGGAAGGCUCAGACAGCCAGGAUGUUGGCUUAGAAGCAGCCAUCAUUUAAAGAAAGCGUAAUAGCUCACUGGUCGAGUCGGCCUGCGCGGAAGAUGUAACGGGGCUAAGUA